GUCUGGUCCCAGUGCAGUGGUGUUUACAACUAAUUGGUCCCAACCAGUUGCAGAGUCCUUUGUUCCUUGUCCACUCCCACCGCUUGCUUCACUUGACUAGCCCUAA
ensembl:misc_RNA Y_RNA Y RNA